rnacentral:tRNA from 1 species
UUCCUGGUGGCUCAGAUGGUAAAGAAUCUGCUUGCAAUGCAGGAGGCCCAGGUUUGAUUCCUGGGUUGGGAA